rnacentral:lncRNA from 13 species
AUGGGACAUGGGAUGUCGGACUAUCGCGUCUCAGCGUCUGGACAAGGAUUUGGGAUCGGGUCGCGUACAGCAGCACUCAGAAUGUAUGAUUUACUUGGAUGCUGCCAGCUGUGGGCAGAUCAAUUUGUCCAAACAAAGGAAGAUGUUAAGGCUUGUGCAGAGAAGACCCGUGCAAGGCUGCAAUCUUUGGAGCCAGCAGGCCAAUCCCAGGCUACAGCUUUCAAUAAAGGGGAAGGCCUAAAAGUUGUUGCCAUGGAGAAGGAUGGAAUACAAGUACUCCGCAUCAAGAAGGAAAUAAAUGAAGGCACAGAACAUGACACACCAUGUCCAAUGACCGGUGAGCAGCCGUGUCCCAAAGUGGACAUGGUGUAUGGCAAGGAGUGGAGCCAAAGCCUGUGGCGAGAUGGAAAAGAAAUAGGAGACCGCAGCGACGGAACAGAGGAGAAAGAAACUCCAGGACCAUCAAUGACCCAGCAUCAGAAAAGGAGAAUUGUCCAUUAUGCAGAUGAUUGGAUUGAAGAGGACUGGAUUAAAGAGGAGGGCGUACCAGUGGAAACCAAUGAAAGUAUUGAUACUUCAGUCAUCCCAUUCAUGGCGGACAGUGAUUUGUCAGAGUAUGGAGACGGGCUAUCCACACUUUGCAGCCAAGCCAAUUACAUGGAUGCCAUGACAGAGAGCUUGAAAGGCAGAUUAGGGUCUGUUAGGGAUAAACAAACCACACGAUUAAAAACUGGAUUGUUGGGGAAUACUAAUGCCAAGAAGAAACAGAGAAUAAUUGAACUAGGCUGGAUGGACUUCAAUGAAAAGGGGAAAGAGUUCAAGCAAGUCAGGACAGUAAACGGUGGCGGUACAAGACACCUCUAUGUUGACAAGAAGAAAUCUGUUGAGGAAAUCAAAGUAAUGGCAGAGGAAAUGUUUUUCCCAAAUGGACUUUCAAAGAAAAACACACAACUGGAGGACUAUCAUCGAGAAAUCAGAUGGAGGUACUCUCAAGUAAACAAUUCAAGCACUGUGGAAGAACUUUAUGAGGAAACCAAAGUGGGAUGUCUACGACUCUAUCUUUGCACAAAGGCACACAGUGUCCGCGAUUUUGGGGUUGUAGUCAGUGCCGCCUCUGCCUAUACACAGAGUACGCGCUGCGCGUAG